rnacentral:hammerhead_ribozyme from 1 species
ACCUAGCGGACGAGUCCCAAAUAGGACGAAAUACACGUUUUCCUGGAU